GCUCCCCGGCGGCGGCCGGUGGGCAGAAAGACCGAAACCCACUCACGGCCGCCUGCCGAAUCGCGGCUCUGCUGUUUGUGGGGCGUGCUAGAAACGUGGUCCUAAAAAGAAUGGCGUCCAUUUACAUAAUGCUUUGUUUGCGUUUCGCAAGUUUCUUUCGGUUAAAGCCACAGAAACCCCACCUCCUGCCCUUGUGUCGUUUCCACCGCGGCACCCUUUUCCGACAUUAGAAACAAUAGUGUACGCCUGUGGAGGCCUCGUUUGUUCAGGGGCUGCCGGCCAGGGCUUCAGGACGUUUCUGCGGCUUUCCCCGCGCGGCCUGGGCUCCCGCGGCUGCUUUUCGGGCCCAUGGGCGCAGCCACUGCGCCAGGCUCAAGGGGGGCGGCCCCGUCAGGGCCCGCCAUCUUGGAAGGCCUUUUUUGCCGGUUCUUCCCGCUGAGGAAGUGUCGCUCAAGACGCUGGCCUAUGAGUUGUGAUUUCUGCCUUUUCCCCUUCCUCCUUGGGCUAAGCCAGACCAGAAAGGGCCCCGUGCGCAACGUGCUUCACAAUCUCUCAGGGAAAGCGGCUAACGUGGCGCUACUCCGCCUCCCCUGUUCCUUACCCUUGGGGCGGCCGCCAUGUUUCCUGAACACAAAAUGGCGACACGUGGUUAGCAUUCGUCGCCAACGAGAAAUUGGGGUCGGCCCGAAAGCUCUAGAAUGCACCCCUCUUCCUCCCCGGGGCCUUCCACCUCCGCGAGUUUUAUGACUUAAAAAAGCCCACAGGCUGGUCUGAAGGUCGGAGGCCUAAUUUUAACGCGUUUUCCUCCCUUUAAUUUGAAACGGGAACGCGAAUGACUGUAAAAUGUGGGCACAAUAUUUAAUCUCUCGCCUUUUUAAAGCUUAAUAGUGGAUAAUAGGGGGGCAGUAUCAAGGGAUAAUUUGGGUCCCCACAGUACCAAAGCAUUUAGAAACCUCUGUUUAAUUUAAGGAAUGAGAUAAGUUACUGCUUUUCUAGACUUCCUAGCAUGGGCUGUUGUGCUGGAGAGAACGAGAGCUACGAAGAGACUACAGUGCCUCUGACUUUUUCAUAGGACAGUUGGCCGAGGAAGACAAACAUAAAGAUGAAGUGCUUAAUUCAAGGUCACACAAUGUCGGGGAUGGACCUCCAGAUUUCCUUACUGGUGAGACGUGGUCUUGUAACACAGUGGUUAAGAAUGUGACUUUGGAGCCAGCCUGCUAGGGGCUGAAUUCUGACUCAGCCAUUUACUAACUGUGUGACCUUAGGGAGGAGGACCUGGUUGAUAGAAGAAUUUAUCUCGUAGUCUUAACAUCCACUGUAAUUCCAAACUUUGAGGACGAUAGAGAUCAGUGGGCUUUGACUGCCCAGCAUGCAGUCUCCAUUCUUAGGUGGGUUCCCAAGCCUGUAAAAUGUAAGCCUUAUGCUGCUGAGGGCCAUCUUGCCACCCUGAGGGAAACGCUGCCUGAGAAUGAAACAAGCAUAAGUAAAAGCUGAGCUGUGAGAUGGAGCAAGAUGAAGGCCACAUGACAUCUUUGGAGCACCUGGAUCUAACUGUGCCUUAAGCUAGUCUAACCCUGAACAUUUCAUCAUUUCAUUGACAUGAGCCCAGGUUUUCUUUUUUUUUGGAUGGAGUCUUGCUCUGUCGCCCAGGCUGGAGUGCAGUAGCUCAAUCUCGGCUCACUGCAAGCUCCACCUCCCGGGUUCACGCCAUUCUCCUGCCUUAGCCUCCCAAGUAGCUGGGACAACAGGCGCCCACCACCACUCCCAGCUAAUUUUUUGUAUUUUUAGUAGAGACGGGGUUUUACCAUGUUAGCCGGGAUGGUCUUGAUCUCCUGACCUCAUGAUCCGCCCGCCUCGGCCUCCCAAAGUGCUGGGAUUACAGGUGUGAGCCACUGCACCCAGCCCUCAGGUUUUCCCUUUUUUUACCCCUCCUUUUGAAAAUUUGAUGUGGAAUUUUGCCACCUGCAGCCAGAAGAGUUUUAACUAAUCAGUGCCAUAAAUUUUAUAUAGUUCUCCUUGCAAAAUGUGGAUCAGCCUUUCUCAGCAAAUCCUUUGUCAUAAAGUGCUGAAUUGUAAGUUUGUCAUGAGAAUCACAUGAGAUCAUGCAUGUGAAGAACCUGGCAUUAUCCUCCUCAUAGAAAAAAACCAGUAAAUAUUAACUACAGGAAGCAAGGAAGGAGUGGGGUGAGGGGAAGAAGAAGGGGUACUGAUUUAAAAGAACCCUGGAGUCCUAAGGAUAAUCUAGGAACCCUCAGACCCAAUCCGAUACCCCUAUUCUAAAUGCUCCUAGUGCCCUGUACCUUCCCCUCAUAAGCCUUCAUUAUCAUUGUAAUGAUAUGUUUAUGUAAUAUUUUGAUUAAUGUCUCUCCUUCACUGACCUAGCAGUUCUAGCAGGGCAGUGAUUUUGCUGUGUUGCAUCCCCAGCACCUAGUCUGGUAUGUGGCAUUCAGCAUAUGUUUAUUGAAUGAAUGGCCAUGUGGUUAUUCAGAUCCUCCUUGAUUAUUGGGGUUAGGAUUGUGGCAGAAGUGGCAAAAUCAGGGAGAGUAGUCCCUGUCCCCUCUGUAUCUUAUACACUGCCCACACUCCCAACACACAUACACAUACAGAGAAUUUUGUCUCAAUUAGAUAAUUAACUUCUGCUUGGUUGUAAACCAAACCACUGGUUCUUAAACUUUCAUUGGAUCAUUUUAUUGAAGAAUUAAAUAGUGUGGUUCUGGCCUAAUGUCUGGAAAGCCUUGCAGAGGAGUGGAUUAGGUCUUUGUGAUAAACAGGCAGCCUUCCCUGCUCCUGUGUCUUUAUAAAAUCUAUUUAACUGGAGUAGUCCACCCUCCCUCAGGCUCUUACAGGAAUAUGUUGGAGGCUGUAGGAAGGUGGGAAACCGAGAGGGAAAGGACUGGGCCGCUGGAGACUUCACUCAUUCCCUAGCAAGAAACAAAAGCAGUAAAAGGUGGCCCGAGGACAACCUGAAGCUCACUCCUUCAGCACUUUUGGCUGGAGGUCACUUGUUGGAGCCCCACUCAGAGCUCAGCACACCACCCCACCAGCAGCCUCCUCCUCCCAGCUGAGGCUGCAUUUCAUCCCUUCCCCCAGCCUGCUUUCCCUGAGAUAGGGGAGUGUUUCCCAGGGCCCAUGUGACUUCCACUGGCAAGUGACGAUUACCAAUGGUUUACUAGUCAGUGAAACUACCAAAGGCUUUUGUGCUGUAGUAAUCCUUUUCCUGUUUAAAACUCUGGGGAUUUUCUAAUGUUGCCAAUAGUUUUUCAAGUCAGCAAUUACUGUGUGGAUUAUGUAAUGGCUCGGUAUUA
rnacentral:lncRNA from 1 species